UUGUCUUGUAGUUUUUCCAUUUCUUUCAAGGUGGGUUUCUAUUUCUCAACUUUCUUCAAAUUUUCUUUGAUAAUGGUCAAGCAUUUUUGUUUUUUAUGUUAAUGGUGGUGGUUUCUGACAUCGGUGCACGUCUGGUUUUCCCUUUCUUUUUUAUUUCUAUUUUUUUUCUUUUGCUAAUUUCUUGUUUUUUUGGGCCAUUUCUAUUUGUGUUGGAGUGUUUGAUCAUUGAUGAUGGUGGACAAUGGCGUGAGUGGUGGAUUUGAUUGCACAAGUGUGAUGAGAUGUUUCUUCUUCACUGUUUUCUAUGAUCGAUCAGUUGUAGUCCAAGGGAGAUUGUCGGAGGUGUGAUGAUUUCUGGCAUCGGUGAUGGGACAUCUCUGCCCUUUUUUGGAAGUUGGGUGGCGAUGCGGUGGCGGUCGUGGAAGGUGUUUUUUGUGCUCAAUUGUACUUCAACGGAAUGUAUUGGUAGUCAUGUGCUUUGUGUUUUCUUGUAGUUGCUCAAAGUACUUGUUGUGUUUGCUGCAAUGUCAAUGCAGUCUUCGACAGCUAGAAGUUCCUACCUCACAUACAAGAAAAAGAAAUAUGCAAAUGCGAUUGGAAAGAUAUAGUACGAGCCUCCGAGUCAGUAGACAACCUUCAUAGGCUAUACUUCUUUUGUGCUUGACGAUUGUGCAAUGCUUCUGAUAAAGAUGAUGACCAAGACAAUUAUCCAAUGGUGAUGAAGCAAUGGGAAGAGGUAACCAGUGCGGAAUUGAAGGUCAUGAAGAAAGAAAUAGUGGUUCGAUUAUAUGAGAUGAAAGGAAUGCUAAAGGUGGAUAAACAAAAUUUAUCACGCAAACCAACAAGUAGAAUGCCAGUAGUGGCUAUUUUCUUUAUCGUCAUUUGGGCCAUCUUCAAUGUUCUCUUAUGUUACAAGUCGAAGAGUGUCUAGGACAGUGUUCCUUGUUUGAUGUAUUUGGUUUUAUAGUGAUAUAAUCGAACACAAUUUAGUGAUGAAUGUAUUUGGU